UAAUUUAUCAUCGUUUAGACAUUAAUCCUGAUGCUAGAUUCGUAUUAUCUAGGAGUAAUUUCUUAUUUAAUUUAUGAUUGUUUAGAGAAAUUCAACAUAACAUAUUCUAAGUAGUCUUGUUUUCUUUUAAGAAUUAUGUAGAAUUUGCUCACCCUACACGUAGCUUCCAACAAAGAUUGUUUGUGUGUCUAGUUUUGUGUUAGUAAGCACAGAGCUUGACAGAAUUAGCUGAAGUAGUGGGCCAAAGGUUAUUGCUGGUCAAAGUUGAAGCGUUUGAGUGGACUUAUGUAACUUGUCUCUUUUUUUGACAAUGGACUAGUAAUUAGGCCUUUACGAGAUUUGGAAGAUGGGAAGUAGCCAAAACACUACUGCUAACAUGAAUGAGGAUGUGGUUAAGACCUGCUAGAAACACGUAGACCCAAUCUUCAACAAUAGGCUUCCUUUGUUUCUCACAGCAUGUGUCAUGUCGUUAGGCCUCUGACAAUUUAGUUCCAUUAAUAUGGAGUUCAGUUGUAGUAUUCAGCAAGAGGCCAACCACCCUAACUCGAUCGGAAUGAUUCCUUUAUACUUCCAUUAAAAGAGUCACAAAAAUCUAGAUAUCUCCUUUAUAUCUUCUCCAAAACUUCCUAAGUCAUUCCACAGUAUACAAAAUGCAACAUCAAAUGGAAUUCAUGAGCGAAGAGAUGACUAAAGCAUUUUCAACCUCCCAUUCUUUAUACUAUGGAUCAUCAUUAGCAGAUGCAGCAUUUCAUCACAUGAUAUAACUCUUUUUCUUCCGACCCACAAUAUGGAUCUCCAAAAUCGUGGACAAAAUCCAAUAAUUAGCACCAUCUAAUUUACUGAAAUUGGAGAGGAAGUGUCAUGAACAGUCACAAGAGAGACAACCUUGAUGUUAGAAGACUUCGUACUAGUUAUGUCAAUCAUCUUGGCUAGGCAUGGGCACAGUUCGGUUUGGGUCGGUUUCGACUCCAACCUGAAACCAAAACCAAAUUAGUUAAUUUAGGUGAAUUUCAACACAAAUCAACCCACUCUAGUUCUUAAAUCGAAUCGAACCAAAUCGGUUAGGUUUGGUUAGUCGGUUUGGACUUUUAGUCCAAAUUGAUUUUUUUUAAAAAAAAUUGUCCUAGUUUUGGGCCCACUUAGUUCCAUUAAUAUGGAAUUCAGUUGUAGGAUUCAGUAAGAGGCCAACCACCUUAACUCGAUCGGAAUGAUUCCUUUAUACUUCCAUUAAAGAGUCAUAAACAUCGAGAUAUCUCCUUUUUAUCUUAUCCAAAAGUUCCUAAGCCAUUCCACAUUAUACAAAAUGCAACAUCAAAUGGAAUUUAUGAGCGAAGAGAUGACUAAAGCAUCUUCAACCUCCCAUUCUUCAUACUGCGGUUCAUCAUUAGCAGAUGCAUCUUUUCAUCACAUGAUGUAACCCUUUUUCUUCCAACCCACAAUAUGCAUCUCGUACUAGUUGUGUCAGUCAUCUUGGCUAGGUAUGAGCACGGUUUGGUUUGAGUCGGUUUCGACUACAACCUGAAACCAAAACCAAAUUAGUCAAUUUAGGUGAAUUUCAACACAAACUAACUCGCUCUAGUUCUUAAAUCGAACCGAACCAAAUUAGUUGGAUUCGGUUGGUCGGUUUGGACUUUUAGUCCAAAUUGAUUUUUUCUUUAAAAAAUUGUCCUAGUUUUGGGCUGACUUAGUUUACAAAGACUAAAAUAACUAAAUAACUUCAUAUUACAAGAAUUAUUGAAUAACAAAUAAAAUCGGGUUAAUAGAGACGGAUGAACAGAAAAUGUAAGAAUUUUGUUGCUCUUUUAUCUAUUAUGUAGCCUGACAACUUGAAAUAGGGAAAAAAUGCUAAGUAUAACAUAAUAAGCUUCUGAUAAGAAAUUUUCAGUACUAUUACUUAUCGGCAACAUCGUAAAUGGAAGGGAAUUGAGAUAGAGUUAUGAGAUUAGGGUUUAUCUUUUGAUUUUUUUAUUUUUUUUAAAAUGGUAUGUAAGUGUGUUGGGUUGGUUGGUUAACCAGUGGUUUGAGUGGUUUGAGAUUUCAAACAAUGACUGAACCGACCCACCAUGGUUUUGUUUAAAAGAAAAUCAAAUCAAACCAAUAACUUGUGUCAAACUGAUCCGAACCAGUUCGAGUUGGUUCGGUUUGAUUGGUUUUGUCGGAUUUUUGAUUUUUUUUUCCCAGCCCUAAUCUUGGCAACUAAGGUUUACUUUUUAGUAAUUACAAAAAUAGGAUACUCACAACCACCAAGCUAGGAUUUUUGCAUCCACAGAGAGGAAAUGUGACCAAGCAGUAAGAGGAGAUCUGACCAAGAAAGGGUCACAAACAAGUUGAAGAGGUUCAAGGCCAACCACACGAGUCGCCCAUGCAAAGGGCUCGCCUAAGGGGUUUGACUGCUCGAAAUAGUUGAAGAGGUUCAGGUUAAUUACAUGAAGUUUCAGAACCCAAAUUGGUAGAAGCAGCACUUGCUCAUCUCUCUGCUCCAGGUCAGGGAAUUUUUCGUAGCUAGACUCCUUGAGAAAUGACACGAAGAUUUUCGAGGGUUCGGUCCUUUGUUUGCAAAUGGUUGGGGAAUCCAUAAAGGUGGCCAUUUAUUAUUAUUAUCGUCGUCGUCGUCGUUGUCAUCUUAUUCAAUAACUAUUUUUAGCGUCAUUAUAUAUAUAUUUUUAUUGUUACUGGGGAAGCUAGCUUAUUGCUGAAAUCAUGGUAGCUAGAGGGAUAUAAGGUGCAACUACUUUUCUAUGUCCAUUAAACUUUGCAUCUACGCGUGGUUAAUCUGUUGAACAUAAUUGUACUUUUUCAUGAUUGCUGAUUCUUAAAGUUGCCAUCAUAGUUUUCUAAUUCCUGUA